GACGAACGCUGGCGGCGUGCCUAAUACAUGCAAGUUGAGCGAUGAAGCUUGGUGCUUGCACCAAUUUGAAGAGCAGCGAACGUGUGAGUAACGCGUGGGGAAUCUGCCUUUGAGCGGGGGACAACAUUUGGAAACGAAUGCUAAUACCGCAUAACAACUUUAAACAUAAGUUUUAAGUUUGAAAGAUGCAAUUGCAUCACUCAAAGAUGAUCCCGCGUUGUAUUAGCUAGUUGGUGAGGUAAAGGCUCACCAAGGCGAUGAUACAUAGCCGACCUGAGAGGGUGAUCGGCCACAUUGGGACUGAGACACGGCCCAAACUCCUACGGGAGGCAGCAGUAGGGAAUCUUCGGCAAUGGACGAAAGUCUGACCGAGCAACGCCGCGUGAGUGAAGAAGGGUUUCGGAUCGUAAAACUCUGUUGGUAGAGAAGAACGUUGGUGAGAGUGGAAAGCUCAUCAAGUGACGGUAACUACCCAGAAAGGGACGGCUAACUACGUG
rnacentral:rRNA from 1 species